rnacentral:rRNA from 1 species
GAUGAACGCUGGCGGCGUGCCUAAUACAUGCAAGUCGAGCGAACAGAUGAGGAGCUUGCUCCUCUGACGUUAGCGGCGGACGGGUGAGUAACACGUGGAUAACCUACCUAUAAGACUGGGAUAACUUCGGGAAACCGGAGCUAAUACCGGAUAAUAUAUUGAACCGCAUGGUUCAAUAGUGAAAGACGGUUUUGCUGUCACUUAUAGAUGGAUCCGCACCGCAUUAGCUAGUUGGUAAGGUAACGGCUUACCAAGGCAACGAUGCGUAGCCGACCUGAGAGGGUGAUCGGCCACACUGGAACUGAGACACGGUCCAGACUCCUACGGGAGGCAGCAGUAGGGAAUCUUCCGCAAUGGGCGAAAGCCUGACGGAGCAACGCCGCGUGAGUGAUGAAGGUCUUCGGAUCGUAAAACUCUGUUAUUAGGGAAGAACAAAUGUGUAAGUAACUAUGCACGUCUUGACGGUACCUAAUCAGAAAGCCACGGCUAACUAC